UACGAAGGGGGCUAGCGUUGCUCGGAAUUACUGGGCGUAAAGGGCGCGUAGGCGGCCACCGCAAGUCGACUGUGAAAUCUCCGGGCUUAACCCGGAAAGGUCAGCCGAUACUGCGGGGCUAGAGUGCAGAAGGGGCAACUGGAAUUCUCGGUGUAGCGGUGAAAUGCGUAGAUAUCGAGAGGAACACCUGCGGCGAAGGCGGGUUGCUGGGCUGACACUGACGCUGAGGCGCGAAAGCGUGGGGAGCGAACAGG
rnacentral:rRNA from 1 species